GACGAACGCUGGCGGCGUGCUUAACACAUGCAAGUCAAGGCCUGUAGCAAUACAGGACUGGCGCACGGGUGCGGAACACGUAGGCAAUCUGCCCGGAAAGGGAGAACAACCAGCCGAAAGGUUGGCUAAAUCUCCGUAAAAUCAUAGAGUGGCAUCACUUAUUGAUCAAGUUUUUUCCGGAUGAGCCUGCGUCUGAUUAGCUAGUUGGCGGGGUAACGGCCCACCAAGGCUACGAUCAGUAGCUGGUCUGAGAGGAUGAUCAGCCACAUU
rnacentral:rRNA from 1 species